rnacentral:rRNA from 1 species
UGGGGAAUUUUGGACAAUGGGCGCAAGCCUGAUCCAGCCAUGCCGCGUGCGGGAAGAAGGCCUUCGGGUUGUAAACCGCUUUUGUCAGGGAAGAAAUCUUCUGAGUUAAUACCUCGGGAGGAUGACGGUACCUGAAGAAUAAGCACCGGCUAACUACGUGCCAGCAGCCGCGGUAAUACGUAGGGUGCAAGCGUUAAUCGGAAUUACUGGGCGUAAAGCGUGCGCAGGCGGUUUUGUAAGACAGAGGUGAAAUCCCCGGGCUCAACCUGGGAACUGCCUUUGUGACUGCAAGGCUUGAGUGCGGCAGAGGGGGAUGGAAUUCCGCGUGUAGCAGUGAAAUGCGUAGAUAUGCGGAGGAACACCGAUGGCGAAGGCAAUCCCCUGGGCCUGCACUGACGCUCAUGCACGAAAGCGUGGGGAGCAAACAGGAUUAGAUACCCUGGUAGUCCACGCCCUAAACGAUGUCAACUGGUUGUUGGGAAGGUUCCUUCUCAGUAACGUAGCUAACGCGUGAAGUUGACCGCCUGGGGAGUACGGCCGCAA